UACGGGGGGGGCAAGCGUUGUUCGGAAUUACUGGGCGUAAAGGGCGCGUAGGCGGUUGGAUAAGUCAGCUGUGAAAACCACGAGCUUAACUCGUGGCCUGCAGCUGAGACUGUCUGGCUUGAGUGUGGGAGAGGAGAGUGGAAUUCCUGGUGUAGCGGUGAAAUGCGUAGAUAUCAGGAGGAACACCGGUGGCGAAGGCGGCUCUCUGGACCACAACUGACGCUGAGGCGCGAAAGCUAGGGGAGCAAACAGG
rnacentral:rRNA from 1 species